GGGUAUGUAGCUCAGCUGGAUAGAGCACCGCCCUUCUAAGGCGGGGGUCGCAGGUUCGAAUCCUGCCAUACCCA
rnacentral:tRNA from 1 species